UAAGGAAUAUUGCGCAAUGGACGAAAGUCUGACGCAGCAACGCCGCGUGCAGGAUGAAGGCCCUUUGGGUUGUAAACUGCUGUAGCAGGGGAAUAAGUUCUCCCUUGGGGAGAGUGAAGGUACCCUGAAAGUAAGCGCCGGCUAACUACGUGCCAGCAGCCGCGGUAAUACGUAGGGCGCAAGCGUUGUCCGGAUUCACUGGGUGUAAAGGGUGCGUAGGCGGGAAAGUAAGUUAGAGGUGAAAUCUCACAGCUUAACUGUGAAACGGCCUUUAAUACUGCUUUUCUUGAGUUAGGGAGAGGUUGAUGGAAUUCCAGGUGUAGCGGUGAAAUGCGUAGAUAUCUGGAAGAACACCGGUGGCGAAGGCGGUCAACUGGCCCUAAACUGACGCUGAGGCACGAAAGCGUGGGGAUCAAACAGG
rnacentral:rRNA from 1 species